rnacentral:lncRNA from 1 species
CAAAAAAAAAGUUCACCUGGUGUACCACGUGUUAAUACAGUCCUUGUUCCGCAAUUUUUCGGCACGAGAUUUUCGUUUUCAGCUCGAAGUCCGCUCAGUUCGAGCGAAAAAUAAAAACACUUUGUUUUCUGAGAAUUUGUAAAAAAAAAAAAAAAAUUAUAAAAAUUUUUUACAGAUAAUCAAAUAAUAAAAUAUAAUUUUUCAACAAAAAAAUAUUUUUCAGAGCAAUUUAAGGAGGGAUCCAAGCACGCCCUAAAGAAAAACAUUAUGGAAGAGGUGUGCGUAUGCGUCGCAAUCUCGCGUCCGUACGAUGUCCGUCGUAACAACGUUUCUUUAUGGGCGAUGGACGGAGGUUUGGUGGCCAAACGUCGAAUCGCAUUCAAUGGCCCCACCCUCUCCUUCUUAUUUAUUUAUUUAUAAUUUUUUUAGGUAAACUUUAAAUAUUACUCCUGUUACUUCGCAUUUUCUCACGUUAAUAUUUUAUGAUUUAAAAUGUAUAAUUUAGUAUCUUUUGAUUUUUUUUUUUUUUUUAUCGGCUCUUAUUUUAACAUUUCGUUAAAUUAUAUAUAAAAAACUUCAGAUAUCUCCACUUAGGUUUAUCGAAUAUUCACUUUAGUAUUUUUUAGUUUUAACUUUGUUACUGAUUUAACGAAAAAAAUUAAUAAAGAAGAUAAUAAAAAAAAUGAAACUACGGGUGCUAAAUUGACACACUUUAAACCGGUACUAAAAUAAAAAAAAAAGUGCGAAACUAUUAGGGUGGUAUUUAAAGUUUUUCCUUCUUUUUAUUAAUCGAGCAUGCUCCUUUUUUCUUUCAUCACGACCACCCGAUCCGGUGCGGAAGAAUCCAACGGUCCGAUAAUCUCGCAUAGUCGUGUCGAGGGGCUUUGGCAUAGGGAUACAAAUUGGGCGGAUCAGGGGGAGGGAGGGUUUUCUUGACCUCCCACUCCACUUCUUAUCGAAGCCGGAUGAAUUCGGGACAAAUUAUUUUUCAUUUUAGUUUUAGCUUUUACUUAUCGUCCCAUUCGGAGCGGAUCAGGACGGAAGCGAAUUUUUAACGGAGGAUUGAAGGAGUAAAAGGAUCUUCCGCCUUCCAUUCUAUUGCUUAGCGGAUCGGAGCGGAUUAGGAACAAAUUAUAUAUUUUUAUAUUUUUUAUUAUCACUUACCACCAUCCCAUUCGGAACGAUUUGGAGUAAAAACUCCACCAACCCAGAUCUAUUUGCAUCUCUGCUUCGGCGUGGCUCGCGAUGCUUCGAAUCUCGGCCCGUGUAGAUACGCGAAUCUUUUAACUUAAACCCUAAACCAGAUUCUAAUCGGAAAUAGAGCCGUUAAUUCUAUGUACUCCUAUAAAUUUUUGUGGGAAUAAAUCUAAUAUAUAUAAAAUUAUUAAAAAUAUAAAAUUUAUCUAAAUUAUAGAUCAUUAUUCAUAAUAUAAUUUUAAAAUUUUAAUUUUACUAUUUAAUUUUUUAAUUUGUUUUGAUUUAAAUCGACCAACAGUAUUUUAACUUUAAAGUUCAAGCUAGUUACUUAUUUUAAUAAAUUUAUAGCACUUACGAGGGUUGCAAAAAAUAUGCUAACUAAACCAAUAAAGAUAAACAAUAUAUUCAAAUUUUAAAAUCAAACUGACAUUGAGUUAUUCAAAUCAAACAAAUUGAAAAAUUGGUUAGUAAUCAAAAUUUUGAAAUAUUAGAUAGCGAAAUCAAAAUGGUCAAUAGUUUAAGUAAAUUCGGUAUAUUUUUACGAUCUUCAAAAUUUUAUGUGUUUCAUGUUUGCUUAUUUAUCUUAUUAAUUUUUUUACUAAGUGUUUUAUAAAAAAAAAUAAUAAAUUUAUGGAUAUGAGAAUGUAGAAUUUACAGCCUAAUAAGUCAUGUACAAGUAGCAUUUUUCUAAAAAAAAAAAAGAAAUAUAAAAUGAAUUCUACUACUUUUGCUUGUUUGAGAAUAAGUGCUUAAAUUUUAGUUUUUCUUUUUUAUAAAUGUGCAUUUGAACUUUCAAUUUUGAUAUUAGACCAUCUAUACUUUAUCAGAUAUAUAAUUUAGUAGAUUUAUCACCUUAAUCAAAAUUACUAACUAUACAACUAUUUUGAUUUCAUGUCGUGUAUAUAAUUCUGUGAGAUUUUAAAAUAUAAAAAAAUUAUUUUUAGCUUUCAAAUUUAAUAAUUCAGCAUGAUGAUCAGCAGAUCUUCGAUUCUCCUUAUUUGUAGGUAAAAAUAUAUAAAACUUGUCUCAACUUUCACCCUUUUGGAUCCAAUUACCUAAUCUUUAAAAAAAUUUAUUUAAUUUUACUAUCUCACAUUUUAAUUUAUUUGAUUUGAGCCAAUUAUGACUUUUUAUUUUUAAAAUUUUGAAUGCAUCAUUUAUCUGUGGGUUUAAUUACUAUAUUUUAUGUAAUUUAAUUACACAGCAAUAAAUUCAUUAAAAUAAACGAUUAGUUUAAAUUUUGUAUCCGAAAAACAAUCAAAUUAUUUAAAUCAAACAAAUUGAAGGAUUAAAUAUUAAAAAUUAAAACUUUACAAGAUUGGGUAAUCGAAUCAAAAUAGUUUAUAAUUUAGAUAAAUUUUAUACAAUUUAAUUUACCUCAUUUUAAUACAUAAUAAAAUAGAAAAAAUAAUUCCUUUUUGUGUUUUAAAGCUUCAUAAAAUUAUAAUUGAUCACAACCUUCAUAAAAUUUUAAAUGAGCAGCAGGAUUGUCCGGUACACUUGUAAGACCACAAGCACUAUAUAUCCAUCUUUUUAAUUAAAUGAUUUUACUGUCGUGUACGUUUCAUCGGACAUAUAGCAUUUAUGAUUUGGUUCAAUUCAAUCGUAUUAGCGAAAACAAAAUUGAAAUGCAUUUUAUUAGCUUUCAAAAUGAUUGAAUCGAUACGAAUUCAUUGCGAGCGAAAAUGAAGUUGCACUGUGAAUGCAACUUUCGUACCUGAAUUACUAUAUCUGUAUGCAUUAUAGUACUUUCUAGGAGGCGAUAUUGUACGUAAGUAAAAUAAACUUUUAGUAAGUUUGAAAAUAACUAUUCAACCGACUGUCCCUAGAGCAACUGGCAAACAGUUUAGUGGUUGAUAUUCGAAACCCAAGUUCGAAUCCUAGUUGACUAGUUAAUUCACAUUUCCAGCUAAGUUUAUUUCUAAAUGAAAUAAACGAAGCGGGUAGCGUGUUACCUAUCUCUCUCAAAAAAAAAAAAGAAGAAGAAAAUAACUAUUCAAGCUUUAGAAAUUUUGAUUUUUCACUAUCCAUUUUUUUAGUUUUUUUAUUUGGUUUCUAAAACAUUAUUAUCAACAGCUAGUUCAUCCGAACAUUUGUGCACCAUACUUUUAUUCAUUUCUUUUGAUUUAUUCCAACCAUUUUAUAUUUUAGUAUAAAACUUGCAAGGUGAUUGAAUAUUAAUCAAAUGGGUACUCGGUGUAGGAAUAUAUGUGUGGAUGCACUAAAUACAGAAAAAAAAAAAAGAAUUGAAAAUGAAUCAAACCAAAUAAAUCGAAACAUUAUGUAGUAAAAUCAACUUUUUUUAAGAUUAGAUAGUUACUUCAAAUAAACAUAAAAUUCAGUUAGUUCAUAUGUUUUUAUCUUAUUUUUAUGGCUUUGUAGUCGACCUAGAUUGAAUCUAAACAUAACUCUACGGGAGUGUUUGGCUGAAGAAUUUUUAUUUCGGAAAAGAGACAAAAAUCCUCAAGGGGAAUUAGCAAUUUUAGUGGAUAUAUACUCUCAUUUAUUUGUGUUCUAGAAGAUUGGACGAUAACGAAAAUAUAUAUAUAUAUAUAUAUAUAUAUAUAUAUAUAUAUAUAUAGAGUAGUGCUGCUGUGCUCUCAGGAGCACGGAGGCCAUUCUCCUGAGCCAUUUUCGAUGAUGGAGUUUCCAAAUCGACGAUUGGCUCCGUUAGACUUGAUCUAGCGUAUUUGAAGUUUCUAAAAAAUAAUUUUGCAAUUUUUCGAUAUCAUUUACCUAGCAAUCGAAAGGAUUCAAAAUCAAUAAUUUUUAACGGCUGAAAAUAAAAAUCCUAUAAAAAAAUGGUGAUAUAGCACUAAAAUUUUCGAUCAGAUAUUGAUUUUGUUGUAGAUAGUAUAAAAAAUUUUGUAUCAAAAUUUCAACUGAUUUGAAUACUUCUACACCGUUAAACUUGAAAACGGCAGAUAUCAACCAUUAAAAAUUAUGAAUUUUGAAUCCUUUCGAUCACUAGGUAAAUGAUAUCAAAAAAUCGCAAAAAAUUAUUUUCUAAAAACUUCAAAUGUGCUAGAUCAAAUCUAAUGGAGCCGAUCGUCGAUUCGAAAAUUUCAUCAUCGAAAACGGCUCAGGAGCAUGGAGGCCUCCGUGCUCCUGAGAGCACAGCAGCCCUACACAGGUGGUGCAAUAUGUGGGACACUAUGACAAUAAUAAUAUGUAUAUCUCUAUAGGAAAUUUUGAUCAUGUACAUAAUUAUGUUGUAUAACCCAUAUGUAGUUUAUUAAUCCCAAGAUAUCAAUUAACCUAAUUCAACCUCAUUCAACCCUCACUCAGGGUCUGGUCAAGUUCUCAAUUAAUUGCUCGUCUCCACUGACACAACAGAAUCUACGAUCCUAUUUGACUUUGUCCGUAUAAUUAGUGCACGUACAUGCAUUUUAAUGAUAGUAAUCCAUGCAUAUAUAUAUAUAUAUAUAUAUAUAUAUAUAUAUAUAUAUAUAUAGAGAGAGAGAGAGAGAGAGAGAGUAGGGCUACUAUACUAUUAUGAGUAUAGAACCCUUAGUACUCAUAAGUUGUUUUCAAUGUUAGGGUUUUCGAAUCAACGAUCCACGCCGUUAAACAUGAUCUAGAAUAUUUGAAACUUCUAGAAAAUAAAUUUCGUAAUUUUUCGAAAUCAUUAUAAAGUCCAUCAAGCGGGUAUAAAAUAAACGGUCAAAAUCGAACUACAAUAUCCUAAAAAUGGAUGAUCGGAUCUUUCAAUUUAAGAUCGGAGUUAUUGAUCUUUAUUUAGGUAGUGAAUAGAAUUUUCUAUCAAAACUUCAACCCAUUCCAAUUCUUUUACACCGUUAAACUAGCAAAUAUUUCAUACCGGCCGUUAAAAAUUGUCAAUUUUAUGAGCUUUUGAUCGUAGGGUAAAUGAUAUCGAAAAAUUAUAAAAUUUAAUUUUUAUAAGUUUUAAAUGCUCUAAAUAAUGUUUAACGGUAUGGAUCGUCGAUUCGAAAGCUCGAUCAUCGAAAACAACUUAUGAGUACGAAGUCGAACGUACUUAUAAGAGUAUAGUAGCCGGACUCUAUAUACAUAUUAUAUAAUGGAUUUGUGCAAUAAACAUAGUAGUAUUCAGUGUAACAGCAAAAAAGAACAAAUUUUAUUAACCAAGAGCCACUAAUAAUAAAUAGUAAUAUUUUAUGUGCGUUGGACUUUUCUAAUAGAAUCCAAUUUCCAUCUUGAUUGGGCUAUGUGAUUCAUCAUGUUACUGAAUCUCAAAAUUGCGUUUAUUAUAGAAGUUUUUUGCUGAUACUUUUGUGGACAAUGGAUAUAAUUAAUAGGGCCCAUAAGAAAGAAUAAUAACACGUUUUUUAUUCUUUUUUUUUUUUUUUUUUUUUAUAUAUAUAUAUAAUAUAUAUUAUAUAUUAUAUAUAUAUAUAUAUAUAUAAAUUUAUGUGAGAAUUCGAAUAAGUUGAAUUUUUGAUAGAACAAUGAUACACAAUUGUUUGGUGUUACAAAAAGAAGUUUGCAUGCAUUAAUUUGCAAUUGCAUACCUAAUACGGUAAAUGUAGUGUAUUCUACGUAGUUUCUUGAAUAGGAAACACAUGAAAUAAAUUGUGUUUGCAGUGAAAUAGUCAAUAAUGUUUAGACACCAUUAUAUAUGUAUAUAUAUAUAUAUAUAUAGGGUCAAAUUUUAACGGAGGUAAAAAUGACUACUAUUUUAUAAUACGUCGAGAAAAUGUCUUUAAGAAUUAUAAGUUAUUAACACAGACAUUUAAGUUUCCUCCACUUGCCAAAAAAAAAAAAAAAAAAAAAGAAUAAAAACGUGUUAUUAUUCUUUCUUAUGGCCCUAUAAUUAUAUCCAUUGUCCACAAAAGUAUCAGCAAAAAACUUCUAUAAUAAACGCAAUUUGAGAUUCAAGUAACAUGAUGAAUCACAUAGCCAAUCAAGAUGGAAAUUGGAUUCUAUUAGAAAAGUCCAACGCCACAAAAAUAUUACUAUUUAUUAUUAGUGCUCUUGGUAAUAAAAUUUGUUCUUUUUUCUGUUUACACUGAAUACUACUAUGUUUAUUGCACAAAUCCAUUAUAUAAAUGUAUAUUAGAGUCCGGCUACUAUACUCUUAUAAGUAACGUUCGACUUCGUACUCAUAAGUUGUUUUCGAUGAUCGAGCUUUCGAAUCGACGAUCCAUACCGUUAAACAUUAUUUAGAGCAUUUAAAACUUAUAAAAAUUAAAUUUAUAAUUUUUCGAUAUCAUUUACCCUACGAUCAAAAGCUCAUAAAAUGACAAUUUUUAACGCCGGAUGAAAUAUUUGCUAGUUUAACGGUGUAAAAGAAUUGGAAUGGGUUGAAGUUUUGAUAGAAAUUCUAUUCACUACCUAAAUAAAGAUCAAUAACUCCGAUCUUAAAUUGAAAGAUCCGAUCAUCCAUUUUUAGGAUAUUGUUCGAUUUGACCGUUUAUUUUACCCGCUUGAAUGGACUUUAUAAUGAUUCGAAAAAUACGAAGAUUAUUUUUAGAAGUUUCAAAUAUCUUAGAUCUCAUGUUUAACGGCGUGGAUCGGUUGAUUCGAAACGCCUAACAUUGAAAACACUUAUGAGUACUAAGGGUUCUAUUACUAUAAUAGUAUAGUAGCCCUACUCUCUCUCUCUCUCUCUCUCUCUAUAUAUAUAUAUAUAUAUAUAUAUAUAUAAUUGAGCUCCUAUGCUUUUAAAAAGUACAAAGUCAUUGGUGCUUGUAAGUUUUCGGCCCUUGGAUUAACAGAUGUGCGUUAGAGAUGAUGUGGGCCCCCUAGGGUUGAUGGGUGGUGGUUGAAUAGUUAUAUCUAACGGGUAAAAAUGAUCAAAGGAUAGAUCUAACGGUAAAAAUUUACAAGUACCCAAAUGCUUGGUACUUUUACAGCAUCAUAGCCGGACUCUAUUAUAUAUAUAUAUAUAUAUAUAUAUAUAUAUAUAUAUGGAGUAGAGCUAGAAUACUUGUAAAGUAUAACCCAAGUAAUACUUGUGUGUUUUUAGCCCUUGGAUGGAGAGAUUGAGGUUGAGAUGAUGGUGGUGUCGUGAUGGAGUGGGUAGGUGGAAUAGUGUUUGAUCCAAGGACUAUUAGUAAUUAAAAGUAGAUGGCUAAAACCACACAAGUAUCACUUGGUGAUACUUGUAAAAGUAUUCUAGCCCCACUAUAUAUAUAUAUAUAUAUAGUAUUAUAUAUGCAUGGAUUACUAUCAUUAAAAUGCUAUGUACGUGCACUAAUUAUACGGACAAAGUCAAAUAGGAUCGUAGAAUUCUGUGUGUCAGUGGAGAACGAGCAAUUAAUUGAGAACUUGACCAAGACCCUGAGUGAGGUUGAAUGAGGUUAAUUGAGGUUAAUUGAUAUCUUGGAUUAAUAAACUACAGUAUGGGUUAUACAACAUAUUAUGUACAUGAUCAAAAUUUCCUAUAGAGAUAUACAUAUUAUUAUUGUCAAUAGUGUCCCACAUAUGCGACCACCUGUGUAGGCUGCUGUGCUCUCAGGAGCACGGAGGCCUCCAUGCUCCUGAGCCGUUUUCGAUGAUGAAAAUUUUCGAAUCGACGAUCGGCUCCAUUAGAUUUGAUCUAGCACAUUUGAAGUUUUUAGAAUAAUAAUUUUUUGGCGAUUUUUUGAUAUCAUUUACCUAGUGAUCGAAAGGAUUCAAAAUUCAUAAUUUUUAAUGGUUGAUAUCCUGCCGUUUUCAAGUUUAACGGCUGUAGAAGUAUUCAAAUCAGUUGAAAUUUGAUACAAAAUUUUAUACUAUCUACAACAAAAUCAUAUCUGAUCGAAAUUUUAGUGCUAAUUAUCACCAUUUUUUCUAAGGAUUUUUAUUUUCAGCCGUUAAAAUUAUUGCAUUUGAAAUCCUUUCUCAAAAUUAUAAAAAAUGUCAAAUUUUUAUUAAUUCACCUAGAUUCUCUAUCCCAUUUCGAUUGUAGGUAAAUAUAUCAAAAAUCUGACAAUCUAUUUUAGAAACUUCAAAGUACGCUACGAUCAAGUCCCUAACGGAGCAAUCGCGACAUUGAAACUCCUCAUCGAAAUGCAGGAGAAUGGCUCCUGUCCUGAGAGCCAGCAGCCAACUCUAUAUAUAUUAUAUAUAUAUAAUAUAUAUAAUAUAUAUUUUCGUUUAUCGUCCAAUCUUCUAGAACACAAAUAAAUGAGAGUAUAUAUCCACUAAAAUUGCUAAUAUCCCCUUGAGGAUUUCUUGUCUCUUUUCGAGAAAUCAAAAUUCUUCAGCCAAACACUCCCGUAGGUUAUGUUUAGAUUCAAUCUAGGUCGACUACAAAGCCAUAAAAUAAGAUAAAAACAUAUGAACUAACUGAAUUUUAUGUUUAUUUGAAGUAACUAUCUAAUCUUAAAAAAAGUUGAUUUUACUACAUAAUGUUUCGAUUUAUUUUUGAUUCAUUUUCAAAUUCUUUUUUUUUUUCAUUAUUUAGGUGCAUCCACACAUAUAUUCCUACACCGAUACCCAUUUUGAAUUUAAUAUUCAAUCACCUGCAGUUUUAUAUUAAAAUAUAAAAUGGUUGGAAUAAAUCAAAAGAAAUGAAUAAAAGUAUGUGCACAAUGUUCGGGAUGAACUACGCUGGAUAAUAAUGUUUUAGAACCAAAUAAAAAAACUAAAAACAUGGAUAGUGAAAAAUCAAAAUUUCUAAGCUUGAAUAGUUAUUUUUCUUCUUUUUUUUUUUUGAGAGAGAUAGGUAACACGCUACCCGCUUCGUUUAUUUCAUUUAGAAAUAAACUUAGCUGAAAUGUGAAUAACUAGUCAACUAAGGAUUCGAACUUGGGUUUCGAAUAUCAACCACCUAAACUGUUUGCCAGUUGCUCUAGGGACAGUCGUUGAAUAGUUAUUUCAACUUACUAAAAAGUUAUUUUACUUACGUACACAUAUCGCCUCCUAGAAAGUACUAUAAUGCAUACAGAUAUAGUAAUUCAGGUACGAAAGUUGCAUCACAGUGGCAACUUCAUUUCGCUCGCAAUGAAUCGUAAUCGUCAUUAUUUCAAUAUACUACUUCUAUCUUUUNNNNNNNNNNNNNNNNNNNNNNNNNUAUAUAUAUAUAUAUAUAUAAUUUUCUAUAUAUAUAAUUCUCAGCCGUUUUUGGUAACACCAAACACUGUCGUUCAAUUUGUGAGAAUUAUAUAUAUAUAAUUCUCACAAAUUUUCUCACAUAAAUUAUAUAUAUAUAUAUAAUGAGUCUGGCUGUAGUGCUUUUAAUAACACCAAACACUUGGUGUUAUCAAAUUUUUUACUAUUAGAUCUUUCCCUUUGACUAAUAACACCCUUUAAAUCAUAUUCAUCCAUUAAAUUUCAAAGGAUCACUAUCAUCCUAACCCUUCAAAUCUUUAUCCAAAGGCCAAAAACCUACGAACAUCAAUAACUUUGUGCCGCUAGAAACAUUCUAGCCCAAUUCUAUGUAUAAUCCUAUUAUAGUGCUUCUAAUAGCACCAAACACUUUCUACUAUCAAAUUUUUCACAAUAAGAUCAGAUUUUUUUACCAAUUCCACAGCUAUAAAAACAAAUAGCGAAAUAAAAAUAAAUUUUACCAAAUGUUAAUUAUAUAAAAUUUUAUUUCAAUCUGAACUUUACCUUCGCUAAAUCAAACAUAAAAGAUGGAUGGGGUGAUCUUUCAUUAGGGAGAGUCCCCGCCAAAUCUCUUCUCGUUUUGUUUUGUUUUGUUGUUUUAAUCCUCUCUCUUAAAGGGCCAAAAUGGGCCCACGCUUCAAUGGGCCAAGGAUUCUCUGGGCCUAGUAUUAGUUGUAGAUCACCACUUCUACUACAUAUUAAUACCACUGUCGACCUCUCUUUUUCUCUCUCUCUCUCUCUCUAUCUCUCUCUCCUCUCCCUCUCUCUCCAAAACCGUGCUCUUGUUUAUGUGAGAAGGGGAGUGAACUGCUUCUUCUUCUAUUCACGAAUCGUUUAAGUUUUCGAUCUGAAACCCUUUUUUGAUUUGGAUUACUGCUUGUGAUAAUAGGGAGUGGAGAUUUUGGAGAUAAGAUUUGCGAACCCUAAGUUUUCAAUCAUUAAUUUCUUCUUUUUUCUGUUUUUUUUUUUAUUUAAUUUGUAGAAUUUGAGAGAAUAUGGCUGAUGCUGCUGCUGCUGCUGCUUAUGAAGUGGUUUACUCAGGUUUAGUACUUUUUCUCUUAAAAUUAUCGUUAUUUUUUUUAGUGAAAAUGCAAAUUAGAUAAAUUCAUUGACACUCCCUCAACAUUGAGUCAUUUCCAUCAAUUAAACUGGGGGUUUUGAUCAAAUCUCGCGGUGAUGAUAUGAAACUCUGGGACUGCGGAUUUUGCUAAUUGUCGUCUAUUUUCACUAAAUUGAAGAAUCUCUGGUUCAAUUGCGGAAAACAAUUCAAAUCAAAAACGGCUAAAACUCGCCUUAAAAUAUAAAUCUAAAACAUUUGAUGUGAUCUAGGCCACUUAAAAGGUCUACAUUUCAAAAAUUAUAAUUGCUGUUCACAUUUUUCUUGUGCGACGAAUCACAGGUUUUUUAAUAUGAUUUUUGGUCACUAUUUGAUGCCUAAUUACUAGGUUUUCGUAUGUAAGCUCUUUCGAGGUUGUAGAUCAGAUUUAACAGUUUAUGUUUAAAAUUUCGAUUUUACAGUAUCGAGCAUAGAGUUUUCAGAUCCCCAUACUUAUAUCGGAGUUGAGGGGGUCUUCGUACAUUUUUUCCUUCACUUUUCUUUUUAGGUACAAUAUAUUUGCUAACGAAAAAUUACUUCAUUUAUAGGUCUAUUAUUUAGCAGACCGCGACCAGUAGUCUCGAAUCAGCUAUCCAGCAGGGUCAAGUUCCAGUUUGUCAAGGUUCUUUAAAUUAAGAAUUACUAUUUUCCAGUAAUUUUAACAUAUUUGAGCAUUGUUUUUUUUUAUUUUUGUUUUACGGAUUAUAUCUGUUGCAUCUGCAGAUUUCACGGCCGCUAGUUCGACAAUCAUUUCCAUUAUCCAGGCUCGUAAGAUGUGCGACAGCAGGAAGAAAUGGUCGUGAAAGGUUAUUAUCUGAUGAGGGGUUUGAACAUGAGCCUUUUUGGUCAAGUCUGGUGAAGGAUGCAGUCUGGUAUUCCAUAAGUUUCUGUUCUGUCUGUAGAUUUUGUUUUUUUUUUUUUUUUAAGUUGUAUAUUUGGCAAAAUUAAUUUUUUGGCUUCUUUGUUACCUGUAGGGGGUUUAGAGCGCUUGCUGUUUUUCUAGCUGAACAGCCAAGUCAGUUGAAAUACAUAGAGUGGCCAACCUUUCAAAGCACGGUAUGUUUGUCGUGACCAGGCUGUUUGGAUGCAUGAAAAUCUUGUUCGGAAAAUUUUGUCUGUUUAGACGAGGGUCUUGCAAUAAUUGAUAGAUAGGAGUACGAUUAAAAUGUAGUCUUCAAAUGACAUAAGAUGUGCGGCAUCUAUGUCAUUUUCUCAGAAAAAGAUAAAUCCCCCUAGUACAAAUUAUCACAUGUUUCGGCAUCCAAACAAGAAAAAAAUUAAAAAAAGAGUGGAAAAAGGAAAAUUUUUCAUUGAAUUUAACACUUUUUUUGUGAAUCUUCGUAAUUUCUAGCUGAACUAUUGCUGCCUUCCUAAGAUAUAUAGUUGGUGGAUGUAAUUUCAUGUCUUUUAUGACUUCAAUAACUGAAUGCAUCUCAUACUAAAUGGCCAUAAUACCUAAAUGGGAAUGCAUCACGCGCUGUUAAAUUUAUCAGAUUUACUGCUUGUCGGUAUACAUAUACAUUGUGCACAAAGUUGCCUUAUACUAUGUCAGUAAGUAUCAUAACGUAGAGUAGAUAUAUCCAUGCAACAUUUCUAAUUCAUCAGUAGCAGCUGAUACAUUUCUGAAAUCCUUUAGGAGUGGAAAAUUUUUUGGAUUAAUUUUAGUAGAGUAAAUUUAACAUUCUAAUAUAGACACUGCUGAUUGAAGCAGAAAUCAUAGGAGGCCUCGUUUUGUAUUUCUAAUGAUAUUUUAUUUUCAAAGUUGAGUUCUGGUGAGUAACUAUUGCUGCUUCAUGCUAGAAAUCAGAACUCGUAAGAGGUGAACCUGAUUUGUCCUGGUGAUUAUGUCAGUUCACAUACAGUUAAAUAUUAUUGGAAAGAGAUGAAUUCUGAAGAUUCUAUGCUUUUUCUUGAGUUUUUUUUCUUGCUAACGAUAGCAGGAAUUUCUCUAUGUACCAUCCUUUCUCUUUUAUCUUAUCUUAGCUUUUUCGAAGUAUAAUUCUAAUCCAUAUUUAACUUUGUUGAUCUGCCUCCUUUUGUUUUCAUUGCUACGGCUUUAAACAUCUUAUAUGCUCAUGAAUUACUGGCCUGCAAAAUUCUCUUUUUCUCCUGAUUCAAUCAAACAAUUCCGGUGAUUUGCAGUUGAAGACGGCUUGCCUCACUCUUAUCCUCGUAGCGUUGCUCAUCGUAGCUUUGUGCUCUAUUGAUUCAGCCCUCUGUUACAUAUUGGCUUGGCUUCUCAGAAAAUCUGCAUAAACUGUUGGUAUUGUAUCUCCCUCAUUUAAUACUUUGUAUUGCUUAGUGAUGCUUGUAGUUAAACGUCUUGCCUGAUUAGUUUGCUUGUAGUUUUAACAAGAUAAUUACUUGUAGUGAAAACCAUAACGCAUGCAAGUUUGGAAGUAAAUUUGUUGUAAUGAAUUUUAUGUGCCUAUGGGCUGAUCGUCACUUUAUGUAUUUAAACAGGUGGUGGAUCACAAUUUCGGAGGUUGGCUUUUCAUUGUGUGGCGCCUUAGGGACUGUUCCUCAUUUUGAUGCUUUUGCUGGAUAGUGAAUAGAGCAGUUUUUUUUUUUUUUUUUUUCAAAAAAAAAGAAAAGGGAUGAUCAGAGUUCAAUGGCUCAGUAUGAUUAUGUGUUUGUUUUGUAGGAUUUAUCCGAGUUGUUAUCUGUUGGCAAAAUGGACGUUACUUUGAUUGCAAAAAGAAUGUGUAAAUGAACCUCUAUAGGAGUAAAAGGAUUUUGGAGUUUAGUCUGAUUUCUAUAUUGACCAUCUAUAUGAUGCUGCAGAACAUGAAUGGUGGAAAGUUCGGUGUAAUAAAUAUGAAUGUUUUGCGGAACAUAACAAAAUGAAAUGAAUUACAAAUGCAAAAAUGAAAAUCAACUUGCACUCUGCCCCAUCAUUAGAAUUAUCAGAAGAAAUGAGAUUGUAUAACAUUAAAGAUUAGGUAUCCAACUGUAACAAUUGAAAGAUUGGAAAAGAUUGCAGAGCAAGAUCCACGAGGAAUACACAACAAGAUCACCAGUGUAUUGUGCCGCACAAUACACCGGACUACCUAAAACUUCCCUGUGGAGUAUAAAUCAUUCUUGAAGUGAAUAUGUUAUGAUUUUGCUGAUACAUAAGUUACAGAUGAACAAUAUAAGAACAAAAUAGCGGAAGAGCAGAAUCAUUCUACAAGGGAAAUACAGAGAGCGACAAGUGUUCCUAGUAACAAAGACAUCAACUGCAUUACAGUGCUUUUGAUAGUCGUCUUUCCAUCAUUCAUUUCUGGGAGUACUCCCGCGACUGCUAUGUAAACGAAGCCACCGGCGGUAAAUCCCUGAAGCGACAGUAGGAAUUUGUGUAAUUGAAUAACUUUUAAUAGUGAAAAUUCGAAAUAUAGGCUAUAGCUAAAGAUAGAGAAUAUUUACCUCAAUUAACGAGGAGUGCCCUGGAUCUUUUCCUAAAACCAAAGCCUGCAAAAUAGAAAAAAGAAAAAGAAAAAGGAACGCGCUACCUGCGUUGUUAUAUAUAUUUUUUAAAAUCAUUAGAGCGAGAAAUAAAUGGAAGUAGAUAACUCACUAGUGCAGUCCCAGCCAAUGCCACCAGUGCAGAAAGAAAAUUGAGAAACAGAGCUUUGGAGACCGUGAAUCCUGACCGCACCAAGAUUCCGAAAUCACCAACCUAGCCAAAAGGGCAAGUUAAUAACACCAAAUAGAUUAGCCCUUCCAUGUUACUCUCAUUACUGUACUAUUAUUGCAAGAUUUAUCUAAUAGAGUAUUAGUAAUACAAUUCAAGAUGACUGAAAUGAAAUGAAAUUUUGCACUAAAAGCAAGCACAAGAAACAUUUGCUACGAACAACUUGCUCAAGUUUUCAGAGAAGUGGUGGAGAAAAUAACCUCUUGAGGAAGUUCAUGAGCUAGCAGAAACAAUGUUCUAGACCACCCUCCAACCGAACCAUGCAGUAAAAAAGCGCUUCCCAGAGCCAUACCAUCGGUAAAAUUAUGCUGCAUUAUUCACACAUUUGAUCUCUGAAUUUUCAGAACAAUAUUGUAAACCUAAAAAUUCUGAAUGUUCAAUAUCACGCAAUAAAUCAUCACUCAACAAAGUAAGAAAAAUUUACGAUCAGCACUCACCACACCAUCAGAGAAAAGAUUAAGAUAGCCAAACACCAAGUUUGAGUGUGAAGAGUGAAGAUCUUUCUCAUGCUGUAAUGGCUUCUCCAUGGCAGUAGCAUUUGGAGCAUUUACAACUUCUCCAUCAGUUAUGUUGCCACCUCCAGAAGUGCUUCUCUGUUUUGAUGCUCGGAAAAAAGGGAAAAAAAACCUCAUCGUCAGAGUGAUUUGUCAGAUAUUAAACUCCUAAAAUCAAUUAAAAAAUAUAUGUUUUUGUCAUCAAGUGUAUGCAUGUAGGAACUAGACAGCAUAUCACAGCAUGCAUAUAGGAAAUAGACAACAUAUCAUAUUGAUGCGCUAAUUUCGGGUUUUUUGUAUAUCAUAAAGGGGGUAGAAAAAUGCUGCGUCAUAAUUGAGAACAGUUUCACGUGCAAAUCUGGGAUGUACCUUACGCAGAAGGGCUUUGUGUUCAGUAAGAUUGCCAUCAUUAACUUGUUCAUCAGCUUCAUCAACUGAAGCUUUUUGUGAUUGUGCAUCACCUAUGUCCCUAGUCUUGUCAUCAGUAUGCUUGGAAUUGAACUCAUCAUUGUUGUCAUCAUCAUCAUCGACUUUGUUGUGGUGUUUAUGGUGGUGGUGGUGGUGGUGGUGUCCAUGACUCAAAUGACUGGUCCCCUUUCUAGAAUUAUCUUCAACAUACCUUACAACCUUCUCAACAAGGAAAAAAAGUACAAUCCCAACUGCAAAAUGAAGGUUUAAAAUAGGAAACACGAUGAUUUUUUUCUUUUUCUUUUUUGAAGGGGAAACAAUGAAACUGUUACAAUGUAUAAUCAAGUAGAUCAUACAAGUAGUUAUCCAAUGGCAGAUAAUUGCAAAAAAGAAAAAAGAAAAAAAAAACUUUUUUGAAAUUUAACGAGUGAUGAAACAAGUGAUUCUUAUCACUGGUCAAAUUAAAAUUUAACAAGAUGGACAAAAGCAAAGAGAAGUAUAAUUAGCAUUGAUUUGGAAAGCUUCCCGUAUUUAACAGACAUGGAAGUGAUCCUUCUACAAUGGAACAAAACAAGCAUAGGAGGAAAAAUAGCAGCCGCAUGCUAACGUUCUCAUCGCUAAGGUACAUAAGCUACUGUUAGGCCUAGGCAGAGCUUCUGCAGAAGUGAUUUCUGUGUACAGUUGUUGGAAGAAAUACAAAAGAAGUAUAAUUGAUAGAGGCUCAGAAAUUCACUUUGGUUUUGACAGGAGGAAGUAUGGCCUUUUUGUUGUCAGAUACACAGCUCAUGCCUCUCGAAUGGUCACAGCAGUACCAAUACAAAUUCACUAAUCUAUGAACUAUAUGAACCUGAAGCUACAAAAGCUAAUUCUUAAACUCAUAUAAUUAUCACUACAAAACUUCAGCAGUAGUAUAUCUUGUACUUAGUGGCAUGCAAAGACAACAUAUACAAUCAUGAUCAAUUUAUGAUCAAACAUAGAUAAGCAUCACCAUUUAGGAUAAAUACCAUGAGGGUUCUAAGAUUGUAUGUUUGUUAACAAGCAAACUGCAAUAGUGAAAAAUCAAUCGCCUGCAUAGAGAUUUGUACCAGUUUAUAGCAAUUCAUUUUUAGGAUGUGAAGCGAGCUUCGUCAUUCAGAAUGUAUGAGCUCCAAAUGGUAACCUAAAUUAUUUUCCUUAAAGUGCCUUCAGAUAAUUAUAAUUGGACUUGAACUGAAGAAAGAAAGCUAAUAACCUAAAGUUUUAAAUGAAAUGCAGGAGACUUGUGAGGCCAGAAUAAAACCAAUUAUGAUUGAAAAGACAAAUACCAAGGAACAAGUACACAGUUCCAAGAUACUCACACAAAAUAGAUAAACCAAUAGAAAGAUCUUGUAAAGAAUGAGCAUGCGAGUGUCCGUGAUCAUGCUGAUGAUCAUGAUUGUCAUGCGAAUGAGAAUGCCCCCCACCUGAAAAAUGUCAAAAGAGCAGAUUAGGGGACAAUAAAGUACAUGCAGUAGAUCAACAUAUAUUAAGCACAAGCUGCAUGAAGAUACAUAUCUUUAUAUCAAGUAGAUUACGAGCAACAAAAAAAAAAAUAACGGGAAAGCAAUGAGGUAUAAUUAGUUGCCCAUCAUCCUUUCAUCCAUCCCUAUAACACUACAUCAAAGAGCAGCAGAAGCAACGAAUCUAUGCCAUGAAUGGUUAAUGUAAUACAAUAUGUUUGCUAAAUUUGAGGUAAAUUGAAAAAAAAGAAAAAAAGUCAAAGAACGCGUGAUAUAUAAAGUAACUAUGUAUCAUACCAAAUGCGUGUGGCAAUUGAUGAAGAAAAGCAUCCCCAAGCAUUGCCCCUGCCUGCAACCAAAUUGUCAAUCAAAAUGAGCGAACUAAUAAACCUCAAGCUCAUGGAUAUUUUUUAAAAAAUCGACGCAUCCAGUGUAGAAUAAUUUAAAAGCAGGCAUCACUACAAACUGAAUAGAUAUAAUUAAAUGUGCACUUACAAACUGAACCAACAAUUGAGUCAAGUAAGCAGAAAUGAUUUGGUUCAUAUUUUGGCUCAUUCUGUACUAAUUCACCUUAAAGCUAUUGGAUUUUGAUACCGAAAUUACGUUGUAAAACACUACAAGAGCAAGAUUCAAACUUGAAUUGGCCGAGGAUGAAUAAUCUUCACUAUGUAAAUUGUUUACAUCAACAAAAUUACAAAAGUGCUCUCCAGGAGUGAAAAAAAAAAAAAAAGGACUUUUAAAUUAUCUAGAAUUUCAACUGGGUACUCUUCCAAGAUAUCAACUAACACAGCAAAAGAGCUCUUCUAUAUCUAUAAUAUAACUUAAAACCCAUCCAAAGUUACUGUGGUAUUCAAUUUUCAUUAUUUUCAGCAGCUGUUCCAAAUAAUUGGCUUACCCCAAACAACGCCAAAGAAUCGACGACGCCCUUGGACGGCUUUCCCUGAACUGUAACAAAUCAAAAUUCCAAACAAUUGGAUAAUGCAUUAGCUAGAAGAAGAGGAGGAGGAAGAGGAGGAGCACAUAGAUUGAGUUAAAAUCACCUACAGAAGAUCAAAGGAAGGAGAAUGAGGCAAAUAAGCGACGCCAUGCUAACGAGAAGCGAGCACCCCAUUGCGCUUAACCAAACACCUUUAUCCCGUUCCCACCAAAAAAAAAAAAAAAAAAACCAACAAGAGCCAAUACUUCAAACCCCAAUUCCAACACAAUUAUAGAAAGAUCGCAUCUCUGACGAGGAAUUCACCUAAAGGAGAUGUCUCAGCAUCGAGAUCCCCGUGCGAGUGGUAAUGAUGAUGGUGAUGAUCGUCAUCCUGAUCGUGAUGGUGGUGAUGGUGAUUGUGCCCUAAUCCGUCGCGCAUCAGAUCCUCCUCCUCCGCGAGCUCUUCCGGAAGCUUCUGGCGCCGGAUCUCGGCAUCUUGAUCAUGGUGGUGGUGGUGGUGAUCGUCGUGGUGGUGAUGGUGAUCGAAUCCGGCGGGGGCGGAGAAGGGGCAAGCCCCCGAGUCCUCCGUGUGCGCGGCGACGACGACAGAAGCGGCGGCGGCGACGAGCAGGAGAAGGACGGGGCGGCCCCGCCGCGGCGGAGGCGAGGAGAGAGGCAUGCUUAAUGCGGUUACGGUUUAGGGUUAGGGUUAGGGUUAGGGUUAGGGUUAGGAGGAGGAGGAGCGUUUGCAAACGCCCUCGAGAGUAAUGAAGAGGACGAGGAGGAAGAGGAGGACGACGAUGCCCACGAUCACGCCGAAGGUGACCACAUCCAUCUUAAUCUCACCUCAUUUAUUAUUUAUUAUUUAUUAUUUAUUAUUAUUUUUAUAAUAAUUUACUUAUAUUUCGUUAUUAUUUAUCAUCUCUAAAAAAUUACUUAUACUUAUAUAUUUCCACAAACAAAUAUAUAAAGGAAAAAUGGCCCAAAAAUAGAUUACUAAAUUUUCCGUACGUUUUUUCUCUGUCACGCUCAGAUUUGAGAGAGAGAGAGAGAGAGAGAGAGAGAGAGAGUACUCUUGUUCGGAAACGCGAGAGAGAGAGUGAGAGAAGAUUCCUUGGAGUUCGUGAGAGUAGAUGUUGGGGUGGAGUUACCGCUCACCGGGGAGUGAGGUGAAACCCCUUCGUUAUCGGAAACGGGGACAACGAGCCCUAGUUUCUCUCCCUCUGUGUCUCGGCGGAGUACGGAGUUGGGAUCUGCUACAAGUUUGGCUGUUUAAAAAGAUACGUAUAACCCCCCAAAAAGAGGCUUAACUACACCCUCCUAAUUUAGUAUCAUAUGAUUUCAUUUUUCUCUAUUUAUUAGCUGUUUCAUUAAUAUUUCGUUAAAUUAUAUACAAAAAUUUUAAAUAUCCUAUCUAAAUUUAUCAAAUAUUCACUUUAAUACCUUUUAGUAGGAGGGGAUAAUAAAAAGAGAAAAAUAAAACCACAUCAUACUAAAUUAAUACACUUUAAAACAUA